UUUUUUUUCCCGUCUUUCCCCCCUUUUUUUUUCAUUUCCUUUCAAGUUUGUAGAGCCUAAAGUUUCGAAACAACACUGUCUCUCUCUCUCUCUCUCUCUCUCUCUCUCUCUUCUCUCACUCACGGAGGCGAGCGCCGAUAAGCGAUCUCACUACUUUUCUGUUCUUGGGUUUGAUCUUUAAUCCUUAUAUAAAUUCCUUUAAUCCUUUUUCACUGUUCUGUAGCUGAUCUCACUACUUCACUGUUCUUGAGUUUGAUCUAAUAUCUGGUGUUCCUGGAGUCACGAAGACAGAGAGGUUGGGUACACUCAGGGCUAUCUUCACAACCCUAGCUACAAUGAUGUCUGUUCUGGGACCACGAAUCACUCGAAGGUCGUUAGGGUUCAGUAUGAUCCCAAGGAGUGUAGUUACGAGUCCUUGCUUGAUGUUUUUGGCCAGACACGACCCUACUUCGCUUAAUCGUCAGAUAUAUUUAAAUUCCUUAUGGGCAGCUCUAUUGGCAAGUCUAUUGGCAGCUUUCAUCUUUGUCAUCAUUUCUGCAAGUCUAUUGGCAGCUCUCAUCUUUGUCUCUCUCCCACUCAUUUCCAUUAUGGUUUGAUGAUAGAGGGGUCAAUCUAGAUAUGGAGAAGGUUCUGAACAGCAAGCAGCUGUGAAAGCUAAUGAUGGGAUAAGUUCAACAAGUGGCAGAAAGCAUAAAAAAAAAUAAAAAUAAAAAAAUGCUUGUGAGGUAUUGCAUACUAAUAAUUGAAAGCCUUGUGGUCAUUGGUGCAUGGGCCCAGAUGGAAAGAGAGGUUCACUUGAUUGGGAAGAAUAAGAAUUCUAUCGGUCUGAUUUAAUUCUAGCUGUGUAAGAGUUUAUACAUGUCUUACUCAUUUUGCUGUUUUAGCAUUUACAGGUUUAUGCGGCUGAAAAUGGGCAGGAGUUGAUGGGUAAAAUUGCAUAGACAUUACAGGAAGGAGAGUGGAGCUGGGUUUAGAGUGUUAAGAAAUAGUACUGCCAUGAUGAAGACAAACAUCAAUCAUAUUUUUCAGGGAGUAUUGUUGGGACUAUCCAAUACCGCUGGAGUGCUAGCUGGUGUCUUUGGAACAGCUGCAGCAGAGGCCAUGGGAUUGUUCCUUCUCCGAGUGAUGUGCAAAAGUUGUGCCAUAUUUUAGGUGAG